GACGAGGGGUCCUAGCGUUGUUCGGAUUCAUUGGGCGUAAAGGGUGCGUAGGCGGCGCGGUAAGUCGGGUGUGAAAUCUCGGAGCUUAACUCCGAAACUGCAUUCGAUACUGCCGUGCUUGAGGACUGGAGAGGAGACUGGAAUUUACGGUGUAGCGGUGAAAUGCGUAGAUAUCGUAAGGAAGACCAGUGGCGAAGGCGGGUCUCUGGACAGUUCCUGACGCUGAGGCACGAAGGUCAGGGGAGCAAACGGG
rnacentral:rRNA from 1 species